rnacentral:lncRNA from 1 species
CUUCCCCUCUUUUUCCCUAAUUUUCCCCUCUUUUUCCUUGCGUUCCCCCUCUUUUUCCUUGAUCCCCCCUCUUUUCCCUCAAUUUCCCCUCUUUUUCCCCCCUUUUCCCCACACUUUUUCCCAUUUCCUCUUUAUUUCCCCCCCCUCCCCCCCCAUUUUCCUUUCCCUUUCCCUUUCCAAUUCCAUCCCUGGGGAAAGAGAGAGCAUGGCUUCCAUUUUCAUGGGCAAAACAGGUUCAAUGAUUCCUCAUGAACUUCCAAAUCAUUCCAGUCCAAAAGCUGCCCUCAAAGGCCUCGUAAAAAAAACUUGGUGUGAUGAUUAAAAAAAUAAACAAGAAAUCAAUUUCUAUAUUAAAAAACAAAAAGGGGAAAAUCAAAAUAAUUCAAAAAUGAAAAAAGAAAAACACAACAAACACAGCAAAAAAAAAUCAAAUAAAAUAGAAAUAAAGGAGAAAUUGGAAGCAAAAUUUCCACCCCCUGCCUGGUUUUGGGGAUCGAAUGCGGAAGAAGUCGAAGGAUUUUGGGGGGUGAGCAGCACCCAUUUGUGGUUGAGGACCGGCACCCAUCCCUGCCUGCUGAGCAGCACCCAAACUGGACCACGAAGCAGCACCCAGCUUCAGCCAAACACCAGCACCCAUCCUUGGCCAACGACCAGCACCCAACCUUGGGCAAAAAGCAGCACCCAUAUUUGGCCAACAAGCAGCACCCAUCCUUGGGUAACAACCAGCACCCAUCCUUGGAUAACAACCAGCACCCGUAUUUAGCCAUGAGCAGCACCCAUCUUUGGCCAGUGAGCAGCACCCAUCCUGGACCAGAGACCAGCACCCAUCCUGAGUCAACAACCAGCACCCAUUCUGGACCAAUGACCAGCACCCAUCUUUGGCCAAUGAGCAGCACCCAUCCUUGGGUAACAACCAGCACCCAGCUUCAGCCAAACACCAGCACCCAUCCUUGGGUAACGAGCAGCACCCAUAUUUAGCCAUGAGCAGCACCCAUCUUUGGCUAGUGAGCAGCACCCAUCCUGGACCAGAGACCAGCACCCAUCUUUUGCUAGUGAGCAGCACCCAUCAUGGAUCAAAGACCAGCACCCAUCUUUGG